GACGUGGGGCGCGAGCGUUGUCCGGAUUUAUUGGGCGUAAAGAGCUCGUAGGCGGCUUGUCGCGUCGACUGUGAAAUCCCGCGGCUCAACCGCGGGUCUGCAGUCGAUACGGGCAGGCUAGAGUUCGGUAGGGGAGACUGGAAUUCCUGGUGUAGCGGUGAAAUGCGCAGAUAUCAGGAGGAACACCGGUGGCGAAGGCGGAUCUCUGGGCCAUUACUGACACUGAGAAGCGAAAGCAUGGGGAGCGAACAGG
rnacentral:rRNA from 1 species